UGAAGCCACAGUUUUGGACACUCCAAUAGUGCCCAACCCACACACUCUCCUUUCCGGCGUUCCACCCUCUGCCAAGUACUUCACUGUAAUUGAUCUAGCCAAUGCCUUCUUCAGUGUUCCCCUGGAUCCAACUUGCCAAUAUCUGUUUGCUUUCACACAUGACAAAAGUACACAUGGACUGUCAUGCCCCAAGGGGCACAAAAUUCACCAAGUCAAUUUGCGAAGGCCAUGUGCUCUAUCCUUGAUCCAUGGCAAUCUGACCACCC